rnacentral:rRNA from 1 species
GACGAACGCUGGCGGCGUGCCUAAUACAUGCAAGUAGAACGCUGAAGGAGGAGCUUGCUCUUCUGGAUGAGUUGCGAACGGGUGAGUAACGCGUAGGUAACCUGCCUGGUAGCGGGGGAUAACUAUUGGAAACGAUAGCUAAUACCGCAUAACAGUAGAUGUUGCAUGACAUUUACUUAAAAGGUGCAAUUGCAUCACUACCAGAUGGACCUGCGUUGUAUUAGCUAGUUGGUGGGGUAACGGCUCACCAAGGCGACGAUACAUAGCCGACCUGAGAGGGGGAUCGGCCACACUGGGACUGAGACACGGCCCAGACUCCUACGGGAGGCAGCAGUAGGGAAUCUUCGGCAAUGGACGGAAGUCUGACCGAGCAAGGCCGCGUGAGUGAAGAAGGUUUUCGGAUCGUAAAGCUCUGUUGUAAGAGAAGAACGAGUGUGAGAGUGGAAAGUUCACACUGUGACGGUAUCUUACCAGAAAGGGACGGCUAACUACGUG